CCCGGUGCGCCCAGCGGAGCGGAGCGGAGCGCGCGGAGGGAGGAGUUUUCCCAGAAUGGGACUGACGGGAAAACACGGGGAUCCCUAUUCCUGGAGGAAUCCAGCCUGGUGCCUGGGAUAGGGAAGUGCAUGAUAAAUGCUGCAUAAAUGAAAAACAAUUGCUACCGUGGAAGAUAUUGAAAGGAAAGUGCUAUCGAUGCCAAAGUUGUUUCCAAGAGAGGUAUUCCAAAAGUGUUUCAAGCAAUGACUGAGCUAAGCAUCCAGUCCUGCAAGGUGAAGGCGUUGAAGACGCAGCCCUCAUUUGAAUAGAUGAAUUGUGGUAUUCUUGUUAAAUAAUGAAUCAUAUCAAGGCUUGGUCACACCUCAUGCACAUGAAAAGACCAAAACGCAAGGCAGCAUAUCAGCGCCACGUGAAGUACACACUAAGCACCAACUAUUUAAUUCAGCAAUCAUGGGGGGCCCGGUGGCUCACGCCUGUCAUCUUAGCAAUUUGGGAGGCCGAGGCAGGUGGAUCGCUUGAGCCCAGGAGUUCGAGAUCAGCCUGGGCAUCAUGGUGGCCUGCACCUGUAGUCCCAGCUACUCAGGAGGCUGAGGUGGGAGGAUAGUUUGACCCCAGAAAGUUGAGGCUGCAGUGAGCCGUGAAUGCACCACUACACACCAGCCUGGAUGACAGAGCGAAACCCUGUCUCAAAGUAAUUAAUAAUAAUUAUAUUAAUUCAGCAAUCAUUGGAGUGUUUGUUGACUUUGACACCGCACUAAGGGAAGGAGUAGGUCCCUUUCCUCAAGUAGUUCCAGUCUAGGUGAGAAGACAGACAAUUAUGCAAAGUUCAAUGGGAACCCAAGGGAAGGAACAGUGAAAUCCAAUUACAGUGCAUUUGAUCUAGCUCUUGAGGAUAAAUGAGGGUUUGCCAAACUGAGACUGGAAACCCCAUUUAAGACACAUGGAAUAGCACCUACAAAGGUGAGGCAGCCAGUCUGCUGGUGUGUUUAGCGAAGCUAUGUAAACUGGUGUGGCUGGAGAAUAGAGAUGUGGAUAAUAAGAUUGAAGGAAGUGGAUACCAGACUUUGAAGGUCAUUGCGUGCCAUGCUGAAGAGUUAGGCAUCAAAAAAGACACAAGUGUGACUUAAUCAGCAGCACCAUCAAGAAGACCGUCUUGCAACAGUCUUGCAGUUGAACUGGAGACUCGGGGUGCCCUAAAACUCAAGCAGUGGUCCUGAG
rnacentral:lncRNA from 1 species